ACAUGCAAGUCGAACGCCCGGGCAACCGGGAGUGGCAGACGGGUGAGUAACACGUGGGAACGUGCCCUUCGGUUCGGAAUAACUCGAGGAAACUCGAGCUAAUACCGGAUACGUCCGCAAGGAGAAAGAUUUAUUGCCGAAGGAUCGGCCCGCGUCCGAUUAGCUAGUUGGUGGGGUAACGGCCCACCAAGGCGACGAUCGGUAGCUGGUCUGAGAGGAUGAUCAGCCACACUGGGACUGAGACACGGCCCAGACUCCUACGGGAGGCAGCAGUGGGGAAUAUUGGACAAUGGGCGCAAGCCUGAUCCAGCCAUGCCGCGUGAGUGAUGAAGGCCCUAGGGUUGUAAAGCUCUUUCGGCGGGGAAGAUAAUGACGGUACCCGCAGAAGAAGCCCCGGCUAACUUCGUGCCAGCAGCCGCGGUAAUACGAAGGGGGCUAGCGUUGCUCGGAAUCACUGGGCGUAAAGCGCACGUAGGCGGCUUGCUAAGUCAGGGGUGAAAUCCUG
rnacentral:rRNA from 1 species